AUGGUACAAUAUCAACUAUAUGCAGACAUAAACGUUUCCUCUCCAUGCUUCCUCUGCUACAGAAGUUCAUAUACAUAUAAUGAUUCUUGCCUUCUCAUCCCACCUACCUCCAGGCGCAAGUUAACAAGAAACAAGAAGGUGGCUCGUUAUGCUGCGUGGACGGGUAUUGUUCUUAUUUAUGCGCUCGGUUAUCGUGCAUUGGCUUCUGGUCCUGAAAUAGUAGAGUAUGAAGGAUAUCUUGUUACUGCCGAGAGUCUAGCCAUGAUACAAGGAUAUCAGCAGGCUGCUGAGAGAGUGCACAAGCAAGAUGGAUAUCAGCCUGUUGCUACUGCUGAAUAG
rnacentral:rRNA from 1 species